rnacentral:misc_RNA from 1 species
GAUGAAGAACGCAGCGAAAUGCGAUAAGUAGUGUGAAUUGCAGAAUUCCGUGAAUCAUCGAAUCUUUGAACGCACAUUGCGCCCCCUGGUAUUCCGGGGGGCAUGCCCGUUCGAGCGUCAUCAAUACCAACUCAAGCGACUCGUUUUUCUCGCGAAAUCGCUUGGUCAUGGGACCGGGGCCGCCGCCUUCAGGGGUGGAGGCCCCGCUCCCCAAUUUCAUGGAGCGGAGCCCGGUGUUUGGGCGUCGGAAGUAAUAAGCACAUUUCCUCCGACGCUUUCCAGCCGAAUGACUCCUGCCCGCAAAAGCUCCCAAUUGUCUUCAAGGCAUGACCUCGGACGGGUAGGGAUACCCGCUGAACUUAAGCAUAUCAAUAAGCGGAGGA